rnacentral:ribozyme from 1 species
GGAAGAAGACAGUAAAAGAUCUUCGGGCCGCACUUACAGAACGUGGAAUACAACCGUGUAGUCUCCGGAAGCCAGAUUUAGUAGAACUCCUGCUAAAAACGUUACUCAAGGAAGAACAAGAAGAAGCAGAAUCCCGUGCGACAACAUUGGAGACAACAGGUGUCCGCAUGACUAUAAACCCA